AUUCAAUUAAUAUAAAUAGUAUAUUAAGCUUCCAACUUAAAAGUUCUUGUCAUAGAAUUGAAUA
rnacentral:tRNA from 1 species